UACGUAGGUGGCAAGCGUUUGUCCGGAUUUAUUGGGUUUAAAGGGUGCGUAGGCGGCUUUGUAAGUCAGUGGUGAAAUAUGGCAGCUUAACUGUCAAGGUGCCAUUGAUACUGCAGAGCUUGAGUACAGAUGAGGUAGGCGGAAUUGACGGUGUAGCGGUGAAAUGCUUAGAUAUCGUCAAGAACACCUAUAGCGAAGGCAGCUUACUAAGCUGUAACUGACGCUGAGGCACGAAAAGUGUGGGGAUCAAACAGG
rnacentral:rRNA from 1 species